UACGUAGGCGGCAAGCGUUACUGGGAAUUACUGGGCGUAAAGCGUACGCAGGCGGCUUUGCAAGACAGGUGUGAAAUCCCCGGGCCUAACCUGGGAACUGCAUUUGUGACUGCAUGGCUAGAGUCUGUCAGAGGGGGGUGGAAUUCCGCGUGUAGCAGUGAAAUGCGUAGAGAUGUGGAAGAACACCGAUGGCGAAGGCAGCCCCCUGGGAUGAGACUGACGCUCAUGUACGAAAGCGUGGGGAGCAAACAGG
rnacentral:rRNA from 1 species